GUCUACCACCGGGAUGUUCAUAACCCUUUGUUGUCCGACUCUGUUGCCUCCGGGGCGACCCUGCCUUCGGGCGGGGGCUCCGGGUGGACACUUCAAACUCUUGCGUAACUUUGCAGUCUGAGUAAACUUAAUUAAUAAAUUAAAACUUUUAACAACGGAUCUCUUGGUUCUGGCAUCGAUGAAGAACGCAGCGAAAUGCGAUAAGUAAUGUGAAUUGCAGAAUUCAGUGAAUCAUCGAAUCUUUGAACGCACAUUGCGCCCCCUGGUAUUCCGGGGGGCAUGCCUGUUCGAGCGUCAUUUCACCACUCAAGCCUCGCUUGGUAUUGGGCAACGCGGUCCGCCGCGUGCCUCAAAUCGACCGGCUGGGUCUUCUGUCCCCUAAGCGUUGUGGAAACUAUUCGCUAAAGGGUGUUCGGGAGGCUACGCCGUAAAACAACCCCAUUUCUAAGGUUGACCUCGGAUCAGGUAGGGAUACCCGCUGAACUUAAGCAUAUCAAUAAGCGGAGGGAAAAGAAA
rnacentral:rRNA from 1 species